CGGGUUGUGGCGCAGCUUGGUCAGCGCGCUCGGUUCGGGACCGAGAGGACGCCGGUUCGAAUCCGGCCAGCCCGAC
rnacentral:tRNA from 1 species